UAAAAUCUCAAGCCCUAGAAGGCUUGGUGUUGGGCUGUCAUGACUUUUGCAUUGGGCUGGUUAUGUGCCUGAAAAUCAGUGGCAGUGCCUAGAAUGACCUCAAGCAUAGUGGACACUCUUGUGCUUUGGAGGCUUCAUUAAGGAUUGCUUGCCUUUUAACUGCUUUUGACAAAG
rnacentral:misc_RNA from 1 species